rnacentral:rRNA from 1 species
AGGAAAAGAAACCAACAGGGAUUGCCUCAGUAACGGCGAGUGAAGCGGCAAAAGCUCAAAUUUGAAAUCUAGCACCUUCGGUGUUCGAGUUGUAAUUUGAAGAUGGUAACCUUGGGUUUGGCUCUUGUCUAUGUUCCUUGGAACAGGACGUCAUAGAGGGUGAGAAUCCCGUCUGAUGAGAUGCCCAUUCCUAUGUAAGGUGCUAUCGAAGAGUCGAGUUGUUUGGGAAUGCAGCUCUAAGUGGGUGGUAAAUUCCAUCUAAAGCUAAAUAUUGGCGAGAGACCGAUAGCGAACAAGUACAGUGAUGGAAAGAUGAAAAGAACUUUGAAAAGAGAGUGAAAAAGUACGUGAAAUUGUUGAAAGGGAAGGGCAUUAGAUCAGACUUGGUGUUUUACGAUUAUCUUCUCUUCUUGAGUUGUGCACUCGUAUUUCACUGGGCCAGCAUCGAUUCGGAUGGCAAGAUAAUGGCAGUUGAAUGUGGCUUCACUUCGGUGGAGUGUUAUAGCUUCUGCUGAUAUUGCCUGUCUGGAUCGAGGGCUGCGUCUUUUGACUAGGAUGCUGGCGUAAUGAUCUAAUGCCGCCCGUCUU